rnacentral:tRNA from 1 species
AACUAGUACAGCUGACUUCCAAACAGUUAGAUCUAGACUAAACCUAGAAGAUAGUA